UGUAUGUAUAUUUUAUAGGUGAAUUUAUUAAAAAAAGGCAAUGUUAUGAUUCAGUAGAUGCAUUAUGAGCUAUAGAUGAACAAUAGUUCAUCCAGUUCUUGAAAAUAUAUGAUUAACUUUUUAAUCUUUAAACUUUUAUAUCAUUCAUAUAUCUUAUAUCUGGUUACUUUUCAGAUUUCAAAAACUCAGUAACUGAAAAACAGACUUCUCAGCCUCAGUCAGAAUUUGCCUUCAGUGUCACAGAGGAACCAGAGUAUGAAUCGCUGGAUGAGAUGAUUCAAGCUGUGAAAGCCAAAAUCCAGCCAAGCCACCAGACUACCAGCCCAUCUGUAGCUACUACGACCGCUCAUGAAAGCGCAGCAGAGUCUGAAGAAUAUUCUUAUGGUGGCCUAGACAUAAUGACCAUUACAAUAUUUAUUGUACUGACCGUGGCAGCAGUCAUUUUGAUAAUAUGG